UUGACGGAGAGUUUGAUCCUGGCUCAGGACGAACGCUGGCGGCGUGCUUAACACAUGCAAGUCGAACGAUGAAGUGGAGCUUGCUCCACGGAUUAGUGGCGAACGGGUGAGGAACACGUGAGAAACCUGCCUCGGAUUUUGGGAUAACAAAUGGAAACGUUUGCUAAUACCAAAUAACGUCGGAGAGUCACAUGACUUUCUGACGAAAGGAAUUCCGAUUCGAGAGGGUCUCGCGGCCUAUCAGCUUGUUGGCGGGGUAAUGGCCCACCAAGGCAACGACGGGUAGCUGGUCUGAGAGGAUGGUCAGCCACACUGGGACUGAGACACGGCCCAGACUCCUACGGGAGGCAGCAGUGGGGAAUCUUGCGCAAUGGGCGAAAGCCUGACGCAGCAACGCCGCGUGCGGGAAGAAGGCUUUCGGGCUGUAAACCGCUUUCAGCAGGAACGAAAAUGACGGUACCUGCAGAAGAAGGAGCGGCCAACUAUGUGCCAGCAGCCGCGGUGAUACAUAGGCUUCAAGCGUUGUCCGGAUUUAUUGGGCGUAAAGAGUUCGUAGGCGGUCGAGUAAGUCGGGUGUGAAAAUUCUGGGCUCAACCCAGAGACGCCACCCGAUACUGCUUAACUUGAGUUCGAUAGGGGAGUGGGGAAUUCCUAGUGUAGCGGUGAAAUGCGCAGAUAUUAGGAGGAACACCGGUGGCGAAGGCGCCACUCUGGAUCGACACUGACGCUGAGGAACGAAAGCAUGGGUAGCAAACAGGAUUAGAUACCCUGGUAGUCCAUGCGGUAAACGGUGGGCACUAGGUGUGGGUUUCUAUUAACGAAAUCCGCGCCGUCGCUAACGCAUUAAGUGCCCCGCCUGGGGAGUACGGU
rnacentral:ncRNA from 1 species